UCGAUGAAGAACGCAGCGAAAUGCGAUACGUAGUGUGAAUUGCAGAAUUCCGCGAAUCAUCGAGUCUUUGAACGCAAGUUGCGCCCGAGGCUUGUCCGAGGGCAUUUCCGCUAGAGCGUCACCGCGCCCCCCACCGAUCCGCUCCCGCCGCGAGGCGCCAGUCGGUUCGAGUGGAAGUGGCCGUCCCGGUCGCGUCGAGCGAGUGAGGGUCGGCUGAAAUGGAUGGAAUCGGGCCGCCGUGGUGACACAGUCCGCGAUCGGGUGAUUUUCCGCGACCCUCCCUCCGGGAGGGUCGCCGCGAAUUUUUUCUAAGUGCGUGGCUGCGUCCCCCAGUUGGUUUCGGCUCCCUCGUGCAGGUCGUGCGCGCCCCCGCGGCGCGCGUCACGCAUCAGACCUCUAAUCGGAAAAGACUACCCGCUGAGUUUAAGCAUAUCAAUAAGCG
rnacentral:rRNA from 1 species